CAGUAAUAGAAUGCUGGUAUCAACUCAUGGUUAAGGUGUGGGCCUAGAGUCACCCUCACAUCACUAAUCACACUGGAGACACACACUGAUACCUUCCUACAGCAUCUCGAUCAUCACAUUUUCCAGGUAAAUAGGUGAGCAGAGAAAACAGAAGAGAGGCUUUCGCCUUCCCAGGCAGGUCUGUAACCAACACCAGUGGAAAGAAGACACCAAGAACCUCUCCCAGGCCUAAUUGUUCAGCAAGAAAUUUCCAAUCCCGCUCUUCAAGCUACAGUAUGGCAGAGCCAAGCCACGUCGUCCAAAUUGAACUUCGAAAUGUGGUCGGUGGGGAAAGAGCCCAGGUCACACCUUCUUGGGCCAGAGAUCCCAAGCUCAAGAUGUCAUGGAGCAGGGAUCCCAUCAGAUAGGCACCCAUGAUGCUGCAGCUACAUUCAAUCUAUUAGUUUGCAAGAAGAGGAACUGCCUGUCUCCUAUCCCCAGCGUGCAGGAGUCUGUCCGCAAUUCUACUGCUGGGCCCCCGGUGCGGCAGAUGCUCUCCCUGCUUCAGAAGCAGCUACCCUGCAAUUUUAGCAGAGGGCAAGCUUUCCCCUGUGCUGUCCACACAGACUCCAGCAAGGAUAUAGCCUCACCCUAACGCUAAUUCACAGUCCACUACAGAAGAUAUUGUCUGGAUUUCAACAACGUUCAAGAAGUAUCCUCUGCUUGCUUCACGUUAGCCAAGGGCUCAUGACUGACCACUUGCAGUCCAAAGUCUCCGCUUUACAGAUGGAGAAACUGAGGCUCAAAGAGGAUGUGCUCUACCUGAGGUCACAAGCCUCCUUGACAGAUGGUCUCCCUCCGCAUGGAUGCCUCUAGUUCCUGGGAGCUCAGCCCUGCAGAAGGCAGCUAGGGCAGCACUGGGCAGCUCUCAGAACCCUGUUCUUUCUGCCAAGCAACAAUCUGCUUCAUUGCAACCUCCUCUCCCUGAUCCGUCUUUGUCACUCACUCCUCUGUUCCAUCUCUCAUUCAUUCGUCCAAUCACCAUUGAGCACCUGCCUUCCGCCGGUUGAAUUCAAGAAGUGUGUCUUGCCUACCGAGCAGGGACAGCUGCGGAGAACAUUAGAUGCUUGGUGUGAAACUGAGCUCCAGAAGGCCAGGGACCACUUCCGUGUUCCCCCACUGUAUCUUCAGGGACAACCACGGUGCCCAGCACGGCGAAGGGGCUAAUAAAUAUUCCCGGAUACAAAAGAAAUUGUGAAUGACAUUGAUGUGAAACAGGAAAAGGUGUGUUCAGGAGCCAUCCUGAGGCAGGAACCAGGAGUAGGAAGAAACGAGAUGAGUAGGGACAGCUGGUCACCAAGGGCCUCGAACGCUAGGCGGAGAUCCCUGGACCUGGUCCUAAGUCAAAAGGAAGGCAGCGGCGACGGUGACUCCAAGGUGAGUGACAGGAUCUGAGCAGUGCUUUGGAAAGAUCACUAUGGUGACCGUGUGUGGAAUGCAUCCGCCGCCUCACGUGGGGACCCGUCGGGAAGCCGGUGCAAUUGUCCAGCAACACUGAAAAAUAAAGGCAAAUGUAAGCAGAGAGAGGGGCCUGUGCUUCCCUCCAUCUGCAGGAGUUCAGGCAGCCUGACUGAGCUCCCGGAGGUAGAGCUUUCCGCCUCUGCCAGCCAGCAGAGGGGUGUGUGGUGGCCCCCAAAUGCCAACAGCGAGAGCGCGGUGUCGUCAAAGGAGCACAGAUUUGGUGCAAAUCUCCGCCAUUCCAUAACAUCACUGGGUGCUUCGGCGUCAUGGAGACUCAGCUUCCCUGUCCGUGAAAUGGGGAUGAUAGAACGUGCCUCCAGUGCUGUGCCCGUGCUGUCGUCUCCGUGCCCGUGCUGUCAUCUCCGUGCCUGUCCUCUGCCAAGGCGGCGCCGAGGAGCCCCCCGCCUGCAGCGGGCCGUUUCUAUUUGCCCCUUGAUGCCGCCGCUCUCUUGGUCAGGUGUGAAAGCGGCCAUUUCAUGCUCAUCUCCCCCAAUUAACAACAGCUGGUCCCCUAUAAAACCAACUGGUGAGAUGGUUUGUUAUUGGAAGACAAUGCGACAUCAUUAGGCAUUAAUGGCUCCAGCCUGGCCGCCUGGCCUGGGUUCGUGGGGUUAAUGCGGCGCGAUGUCGGGUCUCACCCUGCAGGGCUACUAGCCUCCUCUGCUGUUUGCAGGCCGCUUCUCCAGCUUCCCUCUUCUGAAUCAGGGCCUGGGGGGCGGAAAGAAGUCAGAGGAAGCUCUCGAUUUCUUGCAGGGAAGCUGCAGGAGCCCUGGAUCUAUCCCUUACAGGAGGGAGGGCCUCACAGGAUUUCAAUUGAAAGAACAAUUUUGAAUUCAGAAAGCUUUUUUCUUUUUAAUUCUUUCUUGUGCCUGGGUUAAUCCGUUGGCACCUAGAUAAACACUCUUUUUGCCCCUCUCUUUGUUCAUCCCUGCAUCCCUGCCACUGGCUGGUUUGAGACCCUUCAUGCUCCCGGUUUGAACAUUAAGAGUGGAGUCGUGGAAAGAGCCUUUUCCCUGGCAAUUUAAGAGUGUGACUGGGAGAGAAGAUCCUGGGCAGGCCGGGACCCAGAAGUCACACUGAACAGACUGGGCGCUGAGCGUAACUUUGCCACAUUUGGUCCAAACUGGCCUCCUGAUGUGAACGUUUCAUCGUGGGCUCGUUUAUGUUUCCCUGUGACCUAAAACCAAAGCCUUAGUCUGCGUAGCCCUGUCGAUCUUAGCAACAGUGACCAACACGGUUCCACAAGGGAGUCUCCCUUUCAGUAAGCAAAUCCCAAAUCUCCAUGCUAUUCAUUCAUUCACUUGGCAAACAUGAAAUGACCACUGAUUUCUCUCUCUCUCUCUCUCUCUCUCUCUCUCUCUCUCUCUCUGUCAAGCUCUACUGACAAAAACAUCUGUCGCUCCCAACAAAUGCAGUUAGAACAGAUGCAUAUCAAGGAUUUUGGAGGAAAGGAAAAUUCUUGAUCUAUCCUUCACUCCUUCCUUCUUUCCAUCUUUCCUUUCUUCCUCUGUCCUCCUACGAAAACAUCUUAAGCAUUCAUACUUGACUUGAUUAAGAUUUGGGUUCUAUGCUACGGGAACAAGAAACUAGCCAUCUGCACAGAGCGACAAAGCGGCACCCCCACCAAGAGAAGGCUCAAAGCCCAGUCAAGGAGCCCUUGGGGCUGCUGGCAGCCAGCUCUUCCGGCAUGAGAUGUGGCCAGAACCUUGAGGGUGAGCCAGCAAUGGCAGGACAGAGCCCCUGGGAUGAGUUAAUGCUUCUUGUGCCUUCUGUGCUUAUUGCCCUGUUGUCCUCCCUUGAUGUUUAGGGGAAUGGAUCCUAUCUCAACUCUUCUAAGGGAAACCAGCCAGUAGACGUGGAAUCCAUCCAAUUGUGCCCAAAGCUGGGCAGAGCUUUGUUGGGAGAAGAGCAUCCCUAGGCCAAAAUCCUAACCCACCCCGGGGGAGCUGCACCAGGACUACUUAAUAAGGCCCCUAUAAAGGGUCUGGAGUAAAGCCUCAGCCCAUCAGGGUUUUGUGUUAAUAAAGAAGGACAAUUCCUGCUCGUACAUCCUGGGUAGGAGUAGAUUAAAAGAACUCACUGUCUGUCCCAUUCGUGAGCCAUUUAAUCAAACAGUUCCAUGAGCACUCACUUUUCUUCCUUCUCAUGGUCUCCAACUUUUCCUGGGAAUAAGUCUUAAACCUCGGGUUCCCAAAGGAGAGAGAUAGAAACCUUAUCUACACUUACUUUAUUGUUUUGAAACCGAAAAUAUGACAUCAGUUCUGCCAGAGGAUUGUCCUACCCACUCUGAGGAUAGGAAGUGACCUAGAAAAUGCAAUAGCGUCCACACCAAAAAUAUUGGUAUUUAGGAAGGUCAAACGACUCAAGAAAGACUUGGGAUAUCUUCUCAACUUUACCACUUGCAAACGUACUGGGUGACCACAGGCAAGUAUCCCACCCUCUCUCUCUGGGCAUCAGUUUCCUGUCUGAAGGAAGACUGUUCUGGAGAACAGAUGAUGGUUGCCAGAAUCAUAAUUCACUGCCUCUCUCUACGUCUAGCAUCUCCCACGUGAGCCCAUGCCCAGCAUACAGCUGAACACCCAGAAGCCCCUCAGCAAGGAAGUUUUGAAUGAAUGAAAAACAUCAUUUCACAACUGGAGACAUGCUCCAAAUGAUCCAGCCCCCAGGCUCUUUGCAGUAGGACUUUUGGAAAAAAUCUCUCUAGAUGCCGCUUCAUCUGGAUGCUGACUUCCUGCAAACCAGCUGACCUGUAUUUACAGUAUCCACAUUUGUUUUGGAAAAAAUCCAAAUGUCCACUUAACUGGGCUGGAGGCCAGCAUAAUCUUCCUAUAUUGUUUGUAACCGUGAGAUUAAUGGUGGGCCUUGCUCUGAGCCUUCUGGUUACAUCAUUCACCUGGGGGUGUCUCUUCAGUACAGAUAACAGUAAUGGAUCGAUCUUCCCCAUGGCUGUGCUCUGUUUUAGGAGCCUCGGCUUCUGGGGGUCGGGGGGAGAGCAUGGGAGACAGAGCUACAUGGCUUUGGAGACAGACAAUGGUGAGUGUGGAGAGAAGUCCCAAACCCUGCUCUGCGGAUCCUGUACCGGCUGAGUGAUCUUGGGCAAGUUGCCUAAGCUCUCCGAACCUCAGUGUCCUCGUACAGAAGGGUCGUACCACUUACUUCACACAGUGUUGGCAAAGAUUAAACAGAAGAAAUGCUUCCUCAAUGCUUGCAUUCCAGCCACUGAUACAUAUACCCACAUAAUUUCUUUUACUAGUGGAAAGAUGGUUGAGCAGUUCACUUUAUGUUAAAAUAGAGCAUGAGAGGGCCACCUGGGUGACUCAGUCGAUUAAGCGUCUGCCUUAGGCUCAGGUCAUGAUCCCGGGGUCCUGGGAUAGAACCCCACAUACAGCUCCCUGCUCAGUGGGGAAUCUGCUUCUCCCU